AUAUUUACCUAGCAGGGGAGAUACCAUGAUCGUGAAAAUAUUUUUCCCAGGGUGAGGCUCACCCACUGUGCUCCGAAUGUGCUGACUCCUGUGAUUUCAUCACAUAUGGUAAACUCCACUGCAAAUUGUGUGGUCAUGGGGAAGAAGAAAAAAAAUUGAGUAGGAAUAGGCCAGGCUUCCUG
rnacentral:snRNA from 1 species